rnacentral:rRNA from 1 species
CCUACGGGCGGCAGCAGUGGGGGAUAUUGCACAAUGGGGGGAACCCUGAUGCAGCGACGCCGCGUGGGUGAAGAAGCGCCUCGGCGCGUAAAGCCCUGUCAGCAGGGAAGAAAAUGACGGUACCUGACGAAGAAGCCCCGGCUAACUCCGUGCCAGCAGCCGCGGUAAUACGUAGGGGGCAAGCGUUAUCCGGAUUUACUGGGUGUAAAGGGGGCGCAGACGGCGAUGCAAGCCAGGAGUGAAGGCCCGGGGCCCAACCCCGGGACUGCUCUUGGAACUGCGUGGCUGGAGUGCAGGAGGGGCAGGCGGAAUUCCUGGUGUAGCGGUGAAAUGCGUAGAUAUCAGGAGGAACACCGGUGGCGAAGGCGGCCUGCUGGACUGCAACUGACGUUGAGGCCCGAAAGCGUGGGGAGCAAACAGGAUUAGAUACCCGGGUAGUC